UUCUUAUCCAGAGAGGUUGAGGGACUGGCCCUAUGACACCUCGGCAGCGGAAUCCAAUUGGAGACUGUGCCAAAUCCAGCAAGCAGAUCGCUUGGGAGAUAAGAA
rnacentral:ncRNA from 2 species